GAUGAACGCUAGCGGCAGGCUUAAUACAUGCAAGUCGAACGGUAAGGUCUCUUCGGAGAUACACGAGUGGCGCACGGGUGCGUAACGCGUAUGCAACCUACCUUUAACUGGGAAAUAGCCCCGAGAAAUCGGGAUUAAUGUCCCAUAUUAUUUUCUGAAUGCAUAUUUGGAAAAUGAAAGCUCCGGCGGUUAAAGAUGGGCAUGCGUGACAUUAGCUAGUUGGUGAGGCAACGGCCCACCAAGGCGACGAUGUCUAGGGGUCCUGAGAGGGUUAACCCCCACACUGGUACUGAGACACGGACCAGACUCCUACGGGAGGCAGCAGUAAGGAAUAUUGGGCAAUGGACGCAAGUCUGACCCAGCCAUGCCGCGUGAAGGAUGAAUGUCCUAUGGAUUGUAAACUUCUUUUGUGCAAGAAAAACCCCUCGGUUUCGUACCGGGGCUGAUUGUAUUGCACGAAUAAGCAUCGGCUAACUCCGUGCCAGCAGCCGCAGUAAUAC
rnacentral:rRNA from 1 species